rnacentral:rRNA from 1 species
CCUACGGGAGGCAGCAGUGGGGAAUAGUGGGCAAUGGGCGCAAGCCUGACCCAGCAACGCCGCGUGAAGGAAGAAGGCGUUCGGGUUGUAAACUUCUUUCAAGAGGGAAGAGCAGAAGACGGUACCUCUUGAAUAAGCCACGGCUAACUACGUGCCAGAAGCCGCGGUAAUACGGAGGUGGCAAGCGGUGUCCGGAUUUACUGGGUCUAAAGGGCGUGUAGCCGGGCUGACAAGUCAGAUGUGAAAUUCCGGGGCUCAACCCCGGACCUGCAUUUGAAACUGUUGGUCUUGAGUAUCGGAGAGGCAGGCGGAAUUCCUGGUGUAGCGGUGACAUGCGUAGAUAUUAGGAGGAACACCAGUGGCGAAGGCGGCCUGCUGGACGACAACUGACGGUGUGGCGCGAAAGCGUGGGGAGCAAACAGGAUUAGAUACCCGAGUAGUC